CCAGAGUCUUGUAUUCUAAUGCUUUGCUUGCCACCAAAUCCAGAAGUUUAAAAUUCACUCCGGUGUUUAAAACCUGCCACUGAAAGGAAUGUCUAUCAUUUGUCUUUGUAUUUUAAAAAUAGGUGACUUGACAAUUCCUUCCUAUCUUCCAGCUUUUGCGCCGUGACACUGAGCUUCCCCCAGACACAGCCCCACCCCUUCCUUCAGCGUGACAAAUGUGGAACGCAUUUUGUUAGAUACACGCUGACACCAGCCUGAUCUCCCUGUGAAGUCUUAAAGCCAGGAUGACUGAGGAGGUCAGCUUAGCAACUUGGAAAUUGCCUGAACAGUGGUUUUCCGAGGUUUAUUACCUAAGCUCAGGUUCCAGUGGGGCUUGUCUGGAAGGGAGCAGGGAGAAACCAUACCAGCAAUAGCCAUUUGAAGUGGAGAGGCUGAUCUGGACACUGUCUGCCCUUCUCCUGCCUUAUGGUUGGUAAUUCACCAGGUAAAAUGCGGGACUCAGUGAUGCCCGGAAAAAAAAAAAAAAAAAAAAAAAAACAAGCAAAGCAAGCAAAAGUCUGAUGAUAAUUACCUUUUGCAGGGGCAGAAUUUACCUGAAAUCUGUGGGCAGAAAGAGGGGAUUCCAGCUCUCAGAAAGGAUGCAGCUGAAAUGCAAUUUGGAAAGCGAAUCUGCAGGCAGGGCUUAAUGCACCCGAUUUACGUGCCCUGUCAGCUUCUGAGCAACAUAAUUAUUGUUAUUUUUUUCUGCCUUGAGCUACUGCCUCCCAGUUUCUGGGAACAGAGCUCCAAUAUUUCCCACUUGGUGGCACUUAUUACUGCCACCCCUCAUGGCAAAUUUCCCCCUUGGUCUUCCAUCUCCCCCAACUUCCACUGAAUCUCACGUUUAAAAAGAGCUGCUCUUCCUGUUUUCAGUUGGUAACACAAAUAUGCAUCAAGCAGCAAGGAUCCAUUUGUGCAGUAUUGUAUUGGAGUAGAUUUUCUGGUCUCAGGCAGUUGAGAAACCGCCGAUGGUUUCAGAUCCCUGUAAGCAUCUGGGCUAAAAUGAUGUGUGAUGCCUGCCUUGUGGUAUAGACAGGUCUGCGAGGGACUCCAUAAUAGAUGCUUUGAUUCAUGAAUGCAUCAUGCUGGGGGACAUUGCCCUGAGAAGACUGAUUUACUGGAGAUGAAAUUCUCAUCUGCAUGUAUGUGCGUGAGCAUGUGCAUCAAAUCUCCGGCCCUCAUUUCCUGUCCUGUCCUGACUCUGGCUCAGGAUUGGUGGCUGUGUGACACUUGCUUACUCUUUUUCAACUCUACUGGCUGAGCAGCCUAUUCAGUGGGACUGUGCAGAUGAAGAAUAGCUGGACCUGGUCCUCUUCUUUCAACAGCACCAUCCUCAUCCUUAUCUUUGCUUUCAUCUCCAUCACCAUCGUCAUCACCAUAGCGGUUCCCUUUGCCGCUAUUAUGACCAUCAUUCCUAAAGUUUAUUGAGCCUCUUCUCUGUCCAGUAUGGUGCCAGGCACGUUAGAAGCAUCAUGUUAUUUAACUCUUAAAACAACACUGCAAACUAGAUAUGAUAAUUGUCACAUGGUCGUGAGGCAUCGGCCUCUCAGGUGGGUUAAGGAUCUGGCAUAGCUUUGGCUGUGGUGUAGGCUGGCAGCUACAGCUCCGAUUAGACCCUUACCCUGGGAACCUCCAUAUGCUGCGGGUGCCGCCCUAGAAAAGGAAAAAAGACAAAAAAAGGAAAAGGAAAAAAAAAAGAAAAAAG
rnacentral:lncRNA from 1 species